GCAGCUAUUCCCAACCCCAGAACCUUUGCUGUCUUGGAACAGAUCACCACUGCAAGAGGGGAAGUUGCUACUGUGAUGAAUUCUGCCAUGUGGUACCAGACUGCUACCCAGACCACAGUGUCCUCUGCAACCCUCCUUCUCAGAUGACCAAGAUGGUGCUGCAGAUGGUGCUGAGGAUGGAGAACCCACCAAGCCC
rnacentral:lncRNA from 1 species